rnacentral:rRNA from 1 species
UACGUAGGGGGCAAGCGUUGUCCGGAUUUAUUGGGCGUAAAGAGCUCGUAGGCGGCUUGUCACGUCGGGUGUGAAAGCCCGGGGCUUAACCCCGGGUCUGCAUUCGAUACGGGCUAGCUAGAGUGUGGUAGGGGAGAUCGGAGUUCCUGGUGUAGCGGUGAAAUGCGCAGAUAUCAUGAGGAACACCGGUGGCGAAGGCGGAUCUCUGGGCCAUUACUGACGCUGAGGAGCGAAAGCGUGGGGAGCGAACAGG